rnacentral:rRNA from 2 species
CACAUGCAAGUCGAACGAUGAUCUCCAGCUUGCUGGGGGGAUUAGUGGCGAACGGGUGAGUAACACGUGAGUAACCUGCCCUUGACUCUGGGAUAAGCCUGGGAAACUGGGUCUAAUACCGGAUAUGACCAUUCCGCGCAUGCGGUGGUGGUGGAAAGCUUUUGCGGUUUUGGAUGGACUCGCGGCCUAUCAGCUUGUUGGUGGGGUAAUGGCCUACCAAGGCGACGACGGGUAGCCGGCCUGAGAGGGUGACCGGCCACACUGGGACUGAGACACGGCCCAGACUCCUACGGGAGGCAGCAGUGGGGAAUAUUGCACAAUGGGCGCAAGCCUGAUGCAGCGACGCCGCGUGAGGGAUGACGGCCUUCGGGUUGUAAACCUCUUUCAGUAGGGAAGAAGCGAAAGUGACGGUACCUGCAGAAGAAGCGCCGGCUAACUACGUGCCAGCAGCCGCGGUAAUACGUAGGGCGCAAGCGUUAUCCGGAAUUAUUGGGCGUAAAGAGCUCGUAGGCGGUUUGUCGCGUCUGCUGUGAAAGACCGGGGCUCAACUCCGGUUCUGCAGUGGGUACGGGCAGACUAGAGUGAUGUAGGGGAGACUGGAAUUCCUGGUGUAGCGGUGAAAUGCGCAGAUAUCAGGAGGAACACCGAUGGCGAAGGCAGGUCUCUGGGCAUUAACUGACGCUGAGGAGCGAAAGCAUGGGGAGCGAACAGGAUUAGAUACCCUGGUAGUCCAUGCCGUAAACGUUGGGCACUAGGUGUGGGGGACAUUCCACGUUUUCCGCGCCGUAGCUAACGCAUUAAGUGCCCCGCCUGGGGAGUACGGCCGCAAGGCUAAAACUCAAGAAAAU